rnacentral:rRNA from 1 species
GACGAACGCUGGCGGCGUGCUUAAUACAUGCAAGUCGAACGGUCCGAUUCCGGUAGUUUACUCUUGGGAAAGGUUAGUGGCGGACGGGUGAGUAACGCGUGGGCAAUCUGCCCCUAGGUCCGGGAUAACAGAGCGAAAGUUCUGCUAAGACCGGAUACUCUUAACCGGCCGUAUGGGUGGUAAAGGAAAGGGGACGCUUAAGGAGGAGCCCGCGUCCCAUUAGCUAGUUGGUGAGGUAACGGCCCACCCAGGCAACGAUGGGUAGCCGUGCAGAGAGGCAGGGCGGAGACACCUGGACUGAGCAGCGGCGCAGACUACUACGGGAGGGAGGAGUAGGGGACGUAGCGAAAUGGGGGGAAGCAAGAACGAGCAACGCCGGGUGAGGGACGAAGGUCUUGGGAUAGUAAUUCUGUGUCAUCGACGACGAGAAUGACGUUACUCGAAGAGGAAGCCCCGGCUAACUACGUG